UAAGAAGCAACUAUUAUUUUUAUACUUGCAACUUGAUUUAACAUCAUGUAGUCAAGAUCAUUGGUAAUGUGUAUUCAUUGAGUUCAUACAGCGUCCAGACGAUCCGUCGGAGUGCGCUUUAGGAAUCAAAUACCUCUUACUUUUCAGGAGCUUUAAGCAAGGGCACUUUUGUAAGAGAUUUUGGUACACAUACUGAGAUAAUUGAUUUGGAAGGCUCAGAUAUUAAAGCUGACAUGGAGCCUCGCCUUGUUCAGUGGCAAGGCAAGUUGGAUGAGCUACAUGUCUUUUUCAAGAAGUUGUGCAAGUCACGCAUAAAGUCACUAUUCACUAUUCACUAUUGUUUUUCUUGCGUUAGAUCUGCUUUUUUCGAUUCGAUUGCACCUUGACUAUUUUUGUACCGCUACUCCUCUUGCGUUAUAUUUAUUUAAAUGAGCAAUUUUUAAAAGACAGAAAAUGUCCUUCUUUCAAUAACGUGGCGGAAUAAAACAAUUACACAAAGAUGUUACUAUGAUA